AUCACAUUGAAAUUAGCUAAUAAAAACUAAAUACCAUCAAAAACAAAAUACACCUAAAUGGUAAAAAUAAUACUGUGGAAUUUCCCUAAGGAGUGAAAAGACUUUUCAGAAUGAAUCACAGGAAAAAAUAUCUACUAUUGUUAUCAUGAGCAACUUUUCCUAGAGGAAAAAGUGCUCCAGAUUCUGAAACAGCACAAAUGCUAUUUUUUUUUCUUUUUGAUCUAGAAGAACUGAAUUCAGAUCUCAGCCUGGUUAUUUGCAAAUUCUUAGAAUGUGAUGACCUUCUUGUUUAUAAAGAGGAGACAACAACAUCUAUAUGUAUUUCAAUGAUAUCUUUCCAUAUCAAUCCAUGUAUUAAUCAGGACUCUCCAUGACAUAAGGAUUAGACAGCAGUUCAAACCAGAUUCGAUUAAAAAGAGACUUCUUUCUUGCUCAUUCAACUAUAAGGUCCAGAGACACCAUAGAUCUGCACCCCAUCUGCAGAUGGAUCCAAGCACACUGAAGAUAACAUCAAAAACCUGUCUUUCUUUUCCCUUCUGGUCCCUGCUUUCCUCUGCCGUGGUUUCCUUCCCAGCAGGCAUCAGCUGCUUAGCAACUGAUGAAGAGUGUGAGGAGUGUGUUUCUUUCCUGAUAAACUUUCAGCCCAGAACGAACAAUCACCAGUCCAGCGUGAGUUGUGGACCACUGGUAGGACUGGAUAGAAGAAUCAACCUCACCCUCACCACACUAACUGAAAGUGAUACUUCUCUUCAAAGGAAAAUCAGAGCACAUUACAGAAAGAAAGAAGAAAAGAAGCUGGGCAGCUCGAAUGAGAUAGAUUAGGGCAUGGCAAAGGCUGGCUGGGGAAGUAGGCGUGACCUGUUAACUACAAGAUCCGGGACACAUGUGCUUAAAUGUUCUCCAAAGCCCUGCACGUGGACUUCUGGCUAACCCGACCAGGUUUUCAACAGGAUGGCCUAGACCUGAGAUCAGCCUGAGGCGUGGGAUCCAAGCACCGGCUCUGAGAACCCAGAUAUAGAAGUUCUCGCGGUUUCCUCAAAAUUUGGACGCUAUUAAAGAAAGGCAGCCAGGAGGAGCAGCUAUCUUGGCUUUCCAAGAAAGCCCAUGCUGGGUUUUUUUGUUUUUGUUUUUUUUUUUUUUUGGUACUGGGGAUCGAACUCGGGUCCGCUUGCAUAGCAGGCGGCAAAAACACUGAGCUAAAUCCCCGGCCCUAACCCAUGCUGCUUUUACCUUUGCUCUUACCCUCUUUUUGUCUUUACUUGGACCAGG
rnacentral:lncRNA from 1 species